ACACGACAUAGCUGGUUGUUGUGGGCAUUCUUGUGCUAGUAAACUCCUUCAUGCAGAAGUGCGCUUCUAGCACCUGCUUGAAGGAGUUCAUUGGUAUAUAAAUGCCCACAACAUGAUGACCGAUUAACGUGAG
rnacentral:miRNA from 19 species